UUUCAAUAUUAUUCAUUUCUAAAGUGUUUAACUAGAAGCCAAUAUCAUGGGAAAAACAAUUAUUUUACUUCUCGUCGUCUGUAUGCUGAUUGGUGCAUCGGUUUCUACGCCCUUAAUGGCAGCUAACUCUGCUCCUAAGUCUGUCGCCAUGCAAGGUUCACCCUCAUCAGGCUCCUCUGGAGGUAGCAGUGGUGGGAGUGGCAGUGGAAGCAGCGGCAGUGGCAGUACCAGCGGUGGUGGUUCCUCACAAACUUCAUCGGGUUGAAAGGAUCUAGACAACUGUUAUAGUACUACGAGUUCCUUGAAAGUUUAAUAUUAAAUUGCAAUAAAAAAGUAUUUCAAUACACAAAAAAAGUUUAUUUAUAACG